CCUACGGGAGGCUGCAGUGGGGGAUAUUGCACAAUGGGGGGAACCCUGAUGCAGCGACGCCGCGUGAGCGAUGGAGUACUUCGGUAUGUAAAGCUCUGUCAGCAGGGAAGAAAAUGACGGUACCUGACCAAGAAGCCCCGGCUAAAUACGUGCCAGCAGCCGCGGUAAUACGUAUGGGGCAAGCGUUAUCCGGAUUUAUUGGGUUAAAAGGUUGCGCAGGCGGAGGUGCAAGUCAGCGGUAAAAUUGCGGGGCUAAACCCCGUACUGCCGUUGAAACUGCAUCCCUUGAGUGCGCGAGAGGUAAGCGGAAUGCGUGGUGUAGCGGUGAAAUGCAUAGAUAUCACGCAGAACUCCGAUUGCGAAGGCAGCAUACCGGCGCGCAACUGACGUUGAGGCUCGAAAGCGUGGGGAGCAAACAGGAUUAGAUACCCUAGUAGUC
rnacentral:rRNA from 1 species